rnacentral:rRNA from 1 species
AUUGAACGCUGGCGGCAGGCUUAACACAUGCAAGUCGAGCGGGGGAAGGUAGCUUGCUACCGGACCUAGCGGCGGACGGGUGAGUAAUGCUUAGGAAUCUGCCUAUUAGUGGGGGACAACAUCUCGAAAGGGAUGCUAAUACCGCAUACGUCCUACGGGAGAAAGCAGGGGAUCUUCGGACCUUGCGCUAAUAGAUGAGCCUAAGUCGGAUUAGCUAGUUGGUGGGGUAAAGGCCUACCAAGGCGACGAUCUGUAGCGGGUCUGAGAGGAUGAUCCGCCACACUGGGACUGAGGCACGGCCCAGACUCAUACGGGAGGCAGCAGUGGGGAAUAUUGGACAAUGGGGGGAACCCUGAUCCAGCCAUGCCGCGUGUGUGAAGAAGGCCUUAUGGUUGUAAAGCACUUUAAGCGAGGAGGAGGCUACUUUAGUUAAUACCUAGAGAUAGUGGACGUUACUCGCAGAAUAAGCACCGGCUAACUCUGUGCCAGCCGCCGCCGCGG